UUCGACUCACGCCAAACCAGGGGCGACCCUGGGACGGAAAGCCACGGGUCCGCUUCAUGAGAGGCGGACAGCCGGGCUGCCUGA
rnacentral:ncRNA from 1 species